GCCGGGUGUGGUGGUGGGCGCCUGUAAUCCCAGCUACUUGGGAGGCUGAGGCAGGAGAAUCACUUGAACCUGGGAGGCAGAGGUUGCAGUGGGUCGAGAUCAUGCCACUGCAUUCCAUCCUGGGCGACAGAGUGAGACUCUGUCUCAA
rnacentral:SRP_RNA from 1 species